rnacentral:rRNA from 1 species
GUGCCAGCAGCCGCCGGGGUAAUACGUAGGGUGCGAGCGUUAAUCGGGAUUACUGGGCGUAAAGGGUGCGCAGGCGGUUUUGUAAGACAGGUGUGAAAUCCCCGGGCUUAACCUGGGAACUGCGCUUGUGACUGCAAGACUUGAGUGCGGCAGAGGGGGGUGGAAUUCCACGUGUAGCAGUGAAAUGCGUAGAGAUGUGGAGGAACACCGAUGGCGAAGGCAGCCCCCUGGGUCGACACUGACGCUCAUGCACGAAAGCGUGGGGAGCAAACAGGAUUAGAUACCCUGGUAGUCCACGCCC